rnacentral:rRNA from 1 species
CACGUAGGGUCCGAGCGUUGUCCGGAAUUACUGGGCGUAAAGCGCGCGCAGGCGGUUAGUCGCAUCGGCGGUGAAAGCCCCCCGCUUAACGGGGGAGGGUCCGUCGAGAUGGACUGACUGGAGGCAUGCAGGGGAGAACGGAAUUCCUGGUGUAGCGGUGAAAUGCGCAGAUAUCAGGAGGAACACCGGUGGCGAAGGCGGUUCUCUGGGCAUGAUCUGACGCUGAGGAGCGAAAGUGUGGGGAGCGAACAGG